CCUCGGCCCCCACAGCCGGCGCUGAGGGCUUUUCCAGAACUGCUGCGUGAGGCGUGUGCGGAUACGAAGAGCAAGGACAUUUCAGGGAACAAACAGGGCGACUGCACUCAGCUUGGACUCCCGGAGCCUGGCUGGAACCGUGGCCCAUCAUUAAGAAUAGACUGGAUGGCAAAUGCUCAUUCCUUUCAUCAAGCUGUCAUCAAUUUGUCAGAAAUAAGAUGAAAUCGAUUGCUCCCAGAAGGCCAUUUGAGCCACUAACUUCCUCAAAGUACUUCAGACUGAUGCACUAUAUGGAGAUUCAGAAAGCCAAAUCAGCCUGAUGAAAUUAAGGUGGGAUAUUUGUUUUCUACUUCACAUUUGUCUUUCUUGUUUGAAUUGUUUUAAUAAUAAAAUACUUGGCUUUUAGAAAGAAAGACAGGAAGAGAGAGAGAAUAGAAGAGAAGAGAAGAAAAAGGAAAGCUCACAGUGCCUGCAUAUCUGCAUAUUUCUAUUUUGUCUUGACAAAGUAUGCUGAUUAUAGAACUUCUUAAAGGUCAUUUGGUAAAG
rnacentral:lncRNA from 1 species